rnacentral:tRNA from 1 species
GUCUUAGUAGUAUAAAAAUUACAUUGGUUUUGUAAACCAAAAAAGGACUUCAAACCUCCCUAAGACA